GCUUUAUGUUUUCUCCCAGUGCAGAAGUCACACUCCACAUCGUCUGGUCCGGCGUAGGAAGGAGCCUUAGCAUCAGACUGCAGUUCGGUCUUCUUCAGUUUCUCCAUAACAUUAGCCAUUAUUGUGUUUCUGCGUAGUACAGGCCUUGGAGUGAAGGUCUCCCUGCACUGGGGGCAGCUGUAAACACCCUUCUGGUCUUCUUGAUUCCAGCAGCCUGUAAUGCAGUUCAAACAGAAACUGUGUCCACAGGAAACAGUCACUGGGUCCUUCAGGAGAUCCAGACAAACACAACAGGUGAACUCAUCCUGAGAUACAGGAAUAAAGGCC